AUGGAGAGGAACCUGGGAGCUGUGCUGGGGAUUCUGUGGCUGUGGAUUUGCUGGGUGAGAGGAGUUGAGGUGGAGCAGAGUCCUCCAGCCCUGAGUCUCCAUGAGGGAACCAGUUCUGCCCUGAGAUGCAAUUUUUCUAUCACUGUGACAUAUAUGCAGUGGUUCCAACAGAAUCCUCAGGGCAGCCUCAUCAAUCUUUUUUACUUGACUCCAGGAACAAAGGAGAAUGGGAGGUUAACGUCAACAUUCGACUCCAAGGAGCGCUACAGCAUCCUGUACAUCAGAGAUGCCCAGCUGGAGGACUCAGGCACCUACCUCUGUGCUGCUGAUGCACAGUGCUCCCAGCAAGCCUGCAGUCUGGCCCCAAACUGCAGCUGGGUGUGCAGCUACAGCCCUGCCACAGGGAGACUCAGCAGGAGGCUUUGCACAGCUGUGUCUCUAUCAGAUCUCCACCAAUUACAGAGAUGUUGUGAGGAAACCCAAAAUUACCACAGCAGAAAUUCAUGGCAAAUUCAGAUUGACAUGACACUGACUUGGAGAAGCUUAAAUGUUCAGAAACUUCAGCCUGCAUGA